rnacentral:rRNA from 1 species
UGCAGUCGAACGGAAAGGCCCAGCUUGCUGGGCGCUCGAGUGGCGAACGGGUGAGUAACACGUGGGUGAUCUGCCUCUAACUUCGGGAUAAGCUUGGGAAACUGGGUCUAAUACCGGAUAGGACAAUCGUUUAGUGUCGGUUGUGGAAAGUUUUUUCGGUUAGGGAUGAGCCCGCGGCCUAUCAGCUUGUUGGUGGGGUAAUGGCCUACCAAGGCGUCGACGGGUAGCCGGCCUGAGAGGGUGGACGGCCACAUUGGGACUGAGAUACGGCCCAGACUCCUACGGGAGGCAGCAGUGGGGAAUAUUGCACAAUGGGCGCAAGCCUGAUGCAGCGACGCCGCGUGGGGGAUGACGGCCUUCGGGUUGUAAACCUCUUUCGACAGGGACGAAGCUUUGGUGACGGUACCUGUAUAAGAAGCACCGGCUAACUACGUGCCAGCAGCCGCGGUAAUACGUAGGGUGCGAGCGUUGUCCGGAAUUACUGGGCGUAAAGAGCUCGUAGGUGGUUUGUCGCGUCGUCUGUGAAAUUCCGGGGCUUAACUUCGGGCGUGCAGGCGAUACGGGCAUAACUUGAGUGCUGUAGGGGAGACUGGAAUUCCUGGUGUAGCGGUGGAAUGCGCAGAUAUCAGGAGGAACACCGAUGGCGAAGGCAGGUCUCUGGGCAGUAACUGACGCUGAGGAGCGAAAGCAUGGGGAGCGAAUAGGAUUAGAUGCCCUGGUAGUCCAUGCCGUAAACGGUGGGCGCUAGGUGUAGGGGUCUUCCACGACUUCUGUGCCGUA